GUUUUUAUGUUAUAAUAAAGAAGUAGAGAAGUUAGUGACGGUGGCUAUCUUUUAAUGGAGGUGGUGCUUAUGAAAAUAAGUAUUAAAUCUAGGAAAGGAGAAGCCCUUUUGUCUGCAUUGGAAACUAUCCAAUUAUUAUUAGGUUUUGGCACUUUUGUCAUUGCGUUAAUAAAAU
rnacentral:sRNA from 1 species